rnacentral:misc_RNA from 1 species
GGAAGUAAAAGUCGUACAAGGUCUCCGUAGGUGAACCUGCGGAGGGAUCAUUACAGAGUUCUCGCCCUCGCGGGUAGAUCUCCCACCCACUGUUAUCGUUACUGUGUUGCUUUGGCGGGCCGCCGGGCCCCGCUCGGCCGCCGGCUCCGGCUGGCGCGCGCCCGCCAGAGGCCCAGCAAACUCUGAAUGUUAGUGUCGUCUGAGUACUAUAUAAUAGUUAAAACUUUCAACAACGGAUCUCUUGGUUCUG